rnacentral:tRNA from 2 species
GGCUCCGUAGCUCAGCCGGAUAGAGCAGCGCUUUCCUAAAGCGAAGGUCGCAGGUUCGAGUCCUGCCGGGGCCGCCA